GAUGAACGCUAGCUACAGGCUUAACACAUGCAAGUCGAGGGGUAACGAGAGGAAAGCUUGCUUUCCUUGUCGACGACCGGCGCACGGGUGAGUAACGCGUAUCCAACCUGCCCCCAACUAGGGAAUAACCUUGCGAAAGUAAGACUAAUACCCUAUAAUUUCCUCAGAUGUCAUCUGACGAGGAAUAAAGAUUUAUCGGUUGUGGAUGGGGAUGCGUCUGUUUAGCUUGUUGGCGGGGUAACGGGCCACCAAGGCAACGAUCAGUAGGGGUACUGAGAGGAAGGUCCCCCACCUUUGAACUGAGACACGGUGCAAACUCCUACGGGAGGCAGCAGUGAGGAAUAUUGGUCAAUGGGCAGAAGCAUCAACCAGCCAAGUAGCGUGCAGGAUGACGGCCCUAUGGGUUGUAAACUGCUUUUAUACAGGAAUAAAGUUAGCCACGUGUGGUUAUUUGUAGGUACUGUAUGAAUAAGGACCGGCUAAUUCCGUGCCAGCCGCCGCCGUAA
rnacentral:rRNA from 1 species